rnacentral:rRNA from 1 species
GACGAACGCUGGCGGUGUGCUUAACACAUGCAAGUCGAACGGUAAGGCCCUUUCGGGGGUCCACGAGUGGCGAACGGGUGAGUAACACGUGAGUAACCUGCCCUCAUCUCUGGGAUAACAGUCGGAAACGGUUGCUAAUACUGGAUAUGAGCUUGCAAGGCAUCUUGUGGGUUGGAAAGAUUUUUUUGGUUGGGGAUGGACUCGCGGCCUAUCAGCUUGUUGGUGAGGUAGUGGCCCACCAAGGCUUCGACGGGUAGCCGGCCUGAGAGGGCGACCGGCCACAUUGGGACUGAGAGACGGCCCAAACUCCUACGGGAGGCAGCAGUGGGGAAUAUUGCACAAUGGACGGAAGUCUGAUGCAGCAACGCCGCGUGCGGGAUGACGGCCUUCGGGUUGUAAACCGCUUUCAAUUGUGACGAAGCUUUUUGUGACGGUAGCAGUAGAAGAAGCACCGGCUAACUACGUG